AGAGUUUGAUCCUGGCUCAGAAUGAACGUAGGCGGCGUGGAUUAGGCAUGCAAGUCGAACGAAUCCCAUGGGGGUAACUCUGUGGGGGAAGUGGCGAAAGGGGCAGUAACGUUUGGAUAACCUACCCUCGGGUCGUGAAUAGCCUUUCUAACGAUUGGGUAAUGCACGGCGAUAUCACCGGCCGGCAUCGGCUGGUGAUGAAAGAACCUCGCCUGAGGAGGGGUCCAAAUAGUAUCAGCUAGUUGGUGGGGUAACGGCCUACCAAGGCUAAGACGCUUAGCGGGUGUGAGAGCACGACCCGCGCCACUGGCACUGAGACACUGGCCAGACUCCUACGGGAGGCUGCAGUCGAGGAUCUUCGGCAAUGGGCGCAAGCCUGACCGAGCGACGCCGCGUGUGCGAUGAAGGCCUUCGGGUUGUAAAGCACUGUCGAGAGGGAGAAAGCCGCAAGGUUGAUCUAUCUCUGGAGGAAGGACGGGCUAAGUUCGUGCCAGCAGCCGCGGUAAU
rnacentral:rRNA from 1 species